UGCUGUAGAAGUGAUGAGCUCUUCAUGUCUCUUCUCUGAUCAAAUGCUAAUGAAGAGAACUUUUAUUGCUCUGAUCUCAGCA
rnacentral:snoRNA from 1 species